GAUGAACGCUGGCGGCAGGCUUAACACAUGCAAGUCGAGCGGGGGAAGGUAGCUUGCUACCGGACCUAGCGGCGGACGGGUGAGUAAUGCUUAGGAAUCUGCCUAUUAGUGGGGGACAACAUCUCGAAAGGGAUGCUAAUACCGCAUACGUCCUACGGGAGAAAGCAGGGGAUCUUCGGACCUUGCGCUAAUAGAUGAGCCUAAGUCGGAUUAGCUAGUUGGUGGGGUAAAGGCCCACCAAGGCGACGAUCUGUAGCGGGUCUGAGAGGAUGAUCCGCAACUCUGGGACGGAGACACGGCCCAGACUCCUAAGGGAGGCAGCAGUGGGGAAUAUUGGACAAUGGGGGGAACCCUGAUCCAGCCAUGCCGCGUGUGUGAAGAAGGCCUUAUGGUUGUAAAGCACUUUAAGCGAGGAGGAGGCUACUCUAGUUAAUACCUAGGGAUAGUGGACGUUACUCGCAGAAUAAGCACCGGCUAACUCUGUGCCAGCAGCCGCCGUAA
rnacentral:rRNA from 1 species